AUGCGCCGGGAGGGCAGCGUCUGCGCUGUCGUGUGCUUCAGCAUCCUUUGCGCCCUCGGCCCCUCCUGAGGAGCGUGGGAACCCAGCGUGCGGGCUUUAUUCGGGAAAGCGGUGGUUGUUCACGGGGGCACGUUUCCGGAAAGGUGAAUACUGGAGAAAGUUAGGUUGCAGGCGAGGUAGACUCCCACGACGCACUUACGGGAUGAAUAUUGGCACAUCAUUUGCUUGCUGCUCCCGUGCAGUGAGUGCACCUGUGCGUUUUAAUGCUGGAUCAAAUUUGUGGAAAGAGGCGCGCCUGAAGACUGGAUUGCUGAGCUGCGCGCCACUCUGUGUUUUUCCAAAGCGUUUUUGAAAUCGUCUUUCAACCUGUUUGCAUAAAGGGACAUCUCUUAAAUGCAGCAAGCUUUAAUGCACUUUUGCCAAAGACAAUGAUUUGUAAAACCCAUAUUUCUUUUAUAUGAGGUUACUGCAGCAGUCGCUACUUCUGAAUUAGAUGAAAUUUUUAUGGGACGUAAGGUACCAGAGGAUUUAGAUCAAAUUUUGAAAACCUAUGAGAACAACAGAAAGGGUAAGUUAUGAUGUCAGCCGGUUCACCUUAGGUUCAAAAUUCCAACAGGCGGAAAUGUUCUAAAGCAUUGUUAUUCCUAGUGACUAGAAGAUUAAAUUACACUCUAAUUGAGAGCAAGCCUUAAAUGUCACCCCUUUUGGGCAUACAGCAUGGUAUCCAGUGCAAGCCCUCUGCAGAUUCAAUUUUUCUUUCUUUCUUUCUUUUUUUUUUUUUUUUAAAGAAAAAGACUAAAACAUAAGGGGACUGUUGAAGUGACGGGAAUGUUCUCUCAAUGGUGGUGAAACAGCUUUAUAAUAGUACCAUGGACUUGAUACUCUUCUACAGAAGCUUUUCUACUCUCUUGGCAGUAUCUCUGAAAGACCCAUAUUCAGUUUGUUUUUACAUUCUAAUGUAUUUCAAAGUUCUCUGUCUUCCACAGCAUGCAAAAUAAAAUAAUUUCUUUGCAUAUUUGCAUUACAGUUUAAGUUAGCAUGUGGAGAACAACAAAAACCAGUUAACCUAGAUCUGUGCUCUUCAAUAGUGUAGCCACUAACCACCUGUGGCUAUUGAGCUUUUGAAACAUGCCGUGUCAUGAAGUAACUGAAUAUUUAAUUUUAAUUUUAGGAAAUCAAAAAACUGACACUCGAUUCAGUUAUUGGAAAGUUUUUUUAAUCUGAUUGGAACAACUGAGGUAUUUGAAUCUACUUUUUCAACUGUAAAUUUUAUGAAAUCUAAAAACUGAUCAUUUCCCAGGUGUGGGUGGCUCUUAACUGUUUGCCAGCAUUUUGGGAGGCUGAGGCAGGAGGAUUGGUUGAGGUCAGGGAUCCAAAACCAGUUUGGGCAACACAGUGAGACCCCGUCUGUACAAAAAGUUUAAAAAUUAGCCAGGUGUGGUGGCACACACCCGUGGUCCCAACUACUCCAGAGGCUGAGGUGGGAGGAUCAAUUGGGCCAGGGAGGUUGAGGUUGCAGUGAGCUGUGAUUGUGCCACUGCAUUCCAGCCUGGCAACAGAGCUAGACCAUGUUUCUAUAAAAUAAAUACCAAUUACGUAUUUCUGAUGAAAUUAGGGAGGUUGUAAGGAGGUAUAGUAUAAAUGUAAAAUAUACACUGGAUUUGGAAGGCAGUAUAAAACUGUUAAAUGUCUCAGUAUUUUUGUAUUGAUUAUAUGUUGUAAUGCCUAUAGCUUAGCUAUAUCUUAGAUAUAUUGAGUUAAUAAAAUAAAUUAUUAGAAUUAAUUUCACCUGUUUUUAUAUUUCACUGUGUUUCCAAGAAAAUUUAUAAUGACAUAUGUGCUUUGCAUGAUAUUUUCAUUGCAGGCAAUGUGAAAAUGUUCAAAAUUAUGCAUUAAUGUGAAAAUGAUUUAAUAAACUAAUAGACUUUUUAGGCCUUUUGUUCAGAGAACAUGCUAAAUUUCCAUAUGCUAAAACAUAUUCAGUGUUCAAAAAUUUAAGUGUUUUUUUCCUGCUUAUCUACCUCAAGUGGUGAUCACUUUUUUUGUGAUUUAAAAGGUUCUACUAUUUUGACAACAUCUUUAAAAAGACUUUCAGAUAAGCUACACUUGUACAGAUACAUGCCUUAUAUAUUUUGCCUACAUAUGGCUGUAGUCUAAAUGUGUAUCGCAAAUUGCAUAUGUUGAAACUUCAUUGCCAAUAUGAUAAUAUUAAGAGAUUGGGCCAUUUGUGCAUGAUUUAAUCAUGAGGUGGAACGCUCAUGAAUGUGAUUAGAGACCUAAUAAAAGAGACCGAAGGGAUUGUCUUAGUCCCUUUUCCCCUUCAACCUUAAGCCAUAUGAAGACACAAGAAGAAGGUACCAUCCUUGGAAGCAGAGAGCAAACCCUUAUCAGACAUCAAACCUGCUGACUCCUUGAUGUGUAGCCUCCAGAACUUUAAGAAAUAAAUGUUGAUUAUUUAUAACUUA